AAACGUCACACUCUCUGUUCAGGAUCCUGAGUACGGCGGGACACGUGAAACCCCGUCGGAACCCGCGAGGACCAUCUCGCAAGGCUAAAUACUCCCUAGUGACCGAUAGUGAACCAGUACCGUGAGGGAAAGGUGAAAAGCACCCCGGAAGGGGAGUGAAAUAGUUCCUGAAACCAUGUGCCUACAAGCUGUCGGAGCCCGUUAAUGGGUGACGGCGUGCCUCUUGCAGAAUGAACCGGCGAGUUACGAUUGCAUGCAAGGUUAAGGUGGAAAAACCGGAGCCGUAGCGAAAGCGAGUCUUAAAUGGGCGUAAGAAGUAUGUAGUUGUAGACCCGAAACCAGGUGACCUACCCAUGUCCAGGUUGAAGGUGCGGUAAAGCGCACUGGAGGACCGAACCCGUGUCAGUUGAAAAUGGCUGGGAUGAGGUGUGGGUAGCGGUGAAAUUCCAAACGAACUUGGAGAUAGCUGGUUCUCUCCGAAAUCUCUUUAGGGGGAGCCUUGAGGUAAAGAAUCGUGGAGGUAGAGCUACUGUUUGGACAAGGGGCCCGUCAUGGGUUACCAACUUCAGAUAAACUCCGAAUGCCAUCGAUUUAUACUCAGGAGUCAGACGAUGAGUGAUAAGAUCCACCGUCGAAAGGGGAACAGCCCAGAUCACCAGUUAAGGUCCCUAAAUAUAUGCUAAGUGGAAAAGGAUGUGGAGUUGCAUAGACAACUAGGAUGUUGGCUUAGAAGCAGCCACCAUUUAAAGAGUGCGUAAUAGCUCACUAGUCGAGUGAUCCUGCGCCGAAAAUGUACCGGGGCUAAGCAUAUUACCGAAACUGUGGAUGUGCACUAUGUGCACGUGAUAGGAGAGCGUUCUAAGGGCGGCGAAGUCAGACCGUGAGGACUGGUGGAGCGCUUAGAAGUGAGAAUGCCGGUAUGAGUAGCGAAAGACAGGUGAGAAUCCUGUCCACCGAAUGACUAAGGUUUCCUGGGGAAGGCUCGUCCUCCCAGGGUAAGUCGGGACCUAAGCCGAGGCCGAGAGGCGUAGGCGAUGGAUAACAGGUUGAGAUUCCUGUACCAGUUAACUGCGUUUGACGAUGGAGGGACGCAGGAGGCUAAGCAAACCGUACGACUGGAAGAGUACGGCCAAGCAGUAAGUCAGGAUGUGAGUCAAAUGUUUACAUCCGUGUUGACAAGCUGUGAUGGGGAGCGAAAUUAAAGUAGCGAAGUUGCCGAUGUCACACUGCCGAGAAAAGCUUCUAAGGAGUAGUUAACUGCCCGUACCGCAAACCGACACAGGUAGUCGAGGAGAGAAUCCUAAGGUGAGCGAGAGAACUCUCGUUAAGGAACUCGGCAAAAUGACCCCGUAACUUCGGGAGAAGGGGUGCUGGCCG
rnacentral:rRNA from 2 species